GACGAACGCUGGCGGCGUGCCUAAUACAUGCAAGUCGAGCGAAGUUUUUCUGGUGCUUGCACCGGAAAAACUUAGCGGCGAACGGGUGAGUAACACGUAAAGAACCUGCCUCAUAGACUGGGACAACUAUUGGAAACGAUAGCUAAUACCGGAUAACAGCAUUAACUGCAUGGUUGAUGUUUAAAAGUUGGUUUUGCUAACACUAUGAGAUGGCUUUGCGGUGCAUUAGCUAGUUGGUGGGGUAAAGGCCUACCAAGGCGACGAUGCAUAGCCGACCUGAGAGGGUGAUCGGCCACCCUGGGACUGAGACACGGCCCAGACUCCUACGGGAGGCAGCAGUAGGGAAUCUUCCGCAAUGGGCGAAAGCCUGACGGAGCAACGCCGCGUGAGUGAAGAAGGAUUUCGGUUCGUAAAGCUCUGUUGUUAGGGAAGAAUGAUUGUGUAGUAACUAUACACAGUAGAGACGGUACCUAACCAGAAAGCCACGGCUAACUACGUG
rnacentral:rRNA from 1 species